UAGGAUAAAUAUUAAUGCCCAGCAUAAAACACGUAAAAGAGCCAUAACAAAAAUAUAAUUUAAAAUAUUUUAUAUGGCUCUUUUACGUGUUUUAUGCUGGGCAUUAAUAUUUAUCCUA
rnacentral:miRNA from 1 species